AACGAACGCUGGCGGCAUGCCUAACACAUGCAAGUCGAACGAGACCUUCGGGUCUAGUGGCGCACGGGUGCGUAACGCGUGGGAACCUGCCCUUAGGUUCGGAAUAACUCCCCGAAAGGGGUGCUAAUACCGGAUAAUGUCUUCGGACCAAAGAUUUAUCGCCUUUGGAUGGGCCCGCGUUGGAUUAGCUAGUUGGUAGGGUAAAAGCCUACCAAGGCGACGAUCCAUAGCUGGUCUGAGAGGAUGAUCAGCCACACUGGGACUGAGACACGGCCCAGACUGCUACGGGAGGCAGCAGUGGGGAAUAUUGGACAAGGGACGAAAGCCUGAUCAAGCAAUGCCGCGUGAGUGAUGAAGGCCUUAGGGUUGUAAAGCUAUUUUACCCGGGAUGAUAAUGACAGUACCGGGAGAAUAAGCUCCGGCUAACUCCGUG
rnacentral:rRNA from 1 species